rnacentral:rRNA from 1 species
CCUACGGGCGGCAGCAGUGAGGAAUAUUGGCCAAUGGGCGAGAGCCUGAACCAGCCAAGUCGCGUGAAGGAUGAAGGAUCUAUGGUGUGUAAACUGCUUUUAUAGGGGAAUAAAGUGAGGAACGUGGUCCUUUUUGUAUGUACCAUAUGAAUAAGCAUCGGCGAACUCCGUGCCAGCAGCCGCGGUAAUACGGAGGAUGCGAGCGUUAUCCGGAUUUAUUGGGUUUCAAGGGUGCGUAGGUGGUUAAUUAAGUCAGCGGUGAAAGUUUGUGGCUCAACCAUAAAAUUGCCGUUGAAACUGGUUGCCUUGAGUAUAUUUGAGGUCGGCGGCAUGCGUGGUGUCGCGG